UGGGGAAUAUUGGGCAAUGGGGGAAACCCUGACCCAGCAACGCCGCGUGAAGGACGAAGGCCUUCGGGUUGUAAACUUCUUUGAUCAGGGACGAAAGCGAUGACGGUACCUGAGGAACAAGCCACGGCUAACUACGUGCCAGCAGCCGCGGUAAUACGUAGGUGGCAAGCGUUAUCCGGAAUUACUGGGUGUAAAGGGCGUGUAGGCGGGUCUGCAAGUCGGGUGUGAAAUAUCCGGGCUUAACUCGGAAGGGUCAUCCGAAACUGCGGAUCUUGAGUGCUGGAGAGGACAGUGGAAUUCCUGGUGUAGCGGUAAAAUGCGUAGAGAUCAGGAGGAACACCAGUGGCGAAGGCGGCUGUCUGGACAGUAACUGACGCUGAGGCGCGAAAGCGUGGGGAGCAAACAGG
rnacentral:rRNA from 1 species